UCUACCAGGAUAUUAUUCCGUACAGAAACUAAGUAGCAAUGUUGUUGGCCAUGGUAGCUGGUCCCUACUCCAUGAGAACAAAAACUUGAAGAAUGGGCAACAAUAUGAAUUAUUCUUGACAAGGCCGAUUAUGGAUGGAUUUCAUGGACGCGAUAAGGAACAAAUGAGGAAAAAUAUACUGAAGCAUGAGUCAGUAUUCAGGCAUCAGCUCAAUGAACUCCAUCGUCUUUACGAAAGGCAAAAGGACUUGAUGAAUGAGAUCAAAAGCAAAGAACUACUCAAACAUCAAAAAGUAGCAGGGACAUCACUAUCAA